GGAACUGAGCCCGCGCCGGAAGUGGCACGGGAGGUGCACUGUCCUUCCCCCUCUGCAUCCCUCUCACGCGACCCCAGCCGGGGUCAUAGGUCCGUUGGCGUGUGCGCCCAUAGCGCACUUCCUUCCACGCUUCCUCCAUAUGUUGAUGUAUCCUGAACUGAAAGAAAUGAAGAAAAGAAACUUAAAGGGGCAAAAGCAAUGAAAUGGUUCUAAAAGAAAAAACAACUUAGUUGAGUUGCUGCAGAAAGUAAGAAGAGUGUGCUGGACGGCGACGUUUCGACCUAAGUCAGAGCAGGAGUGACGGACUCUACUGCUGCUGCCUCCUUUUAUCUCCUCCCCCGGCACCCCACGCAGCUAAGCCCUCCCCCCUGCUACGUCUCCCCUGUGAAGGCUUCCUGCAUGUCUGGGCAUGUACUAACUGAACUCUAUUGUUUUCUGCUGUUUUGUUGCUCAAAUCCUGUCAAAAAAUAUAAAGAAAAAUAAAAAUAAAGUGUCUGACUGAACUUAAGAAGUGAAUAAAAGAAAAUGAAGCCGAAGUCAGUGUGAAAAAAAAUGCUACAACAAUGUGUUUAAAGCUGCUUCCCCCAGAGAUCCUAUGAUUAAAAUCGACAGAUAUGAUGUGUUUCUUUCUUUUUCAGGUGUUCCAGGUGAGUGUUUUUUCUCUUUCAGGUGUUCCAGGUAAGUAUUUUCUUCUUUUUCAGGUGUUCCAGGUAGGUAUUUUCUUUUUCAGGUGUUCCAGGUAAGUAUUUUCUUCUUUUUCAGGUCUUCCAGGUAGGUAUUUUCUUUUUUACAGGUGUUCCAGGUAAGUAUGUUCUUUUUACAGGUGUUCCAGGUGAGUAUAAUUACUGUAGGUAGGUGUUUUAUGUGUUUUAAUAAGUGUACUUAGUCAUCUCAGGUCCAGGUAAGUACUUUAGGUGUGUUUUCUUCUUUGCAGGUGAGUUUUGUAAUGUAUUUUUGCUUUUCAGGUUAUGAUUUUAUGUGUAACUGUCCUUUAAAUGUGAAUAACUUAUGUGUGGUGAUGUUACAGGUAAGUGUUUUUUGGUGUAAGUGUCCUUUAAAUGUGCAUAUCCAAUGUGUGUCUAUGUGUCAGGUAAGUAUGUGUGGUGUAAGUGCCCUUUAAAUUUGGAAUCUAUGUGUGUGUUGUUGUUAAUGAGCCAAUUGUGCCUGAAAUGACUAAAUAAACUGGGCGUGUCCAAUUAUCUGUCUCCUUCUAUGAAUUCUUUAUUUAUAUACUGAACUAUCAAUUUAUUUAUUUAUUUAUUUAUUAAUCUAUUUAGUAAUUAAUUAAUUUAUUAAUGUAUUUAUUCCUAUAUUAGCAGCCUUAAAGCUGUAUGAAUUCAUCUAUAAUAGAUUAACCGAUGACCUCUGAGGGAUAUCUAAUAUAAUAUAUAGAGGUAAGUAUGUAGGUAGGUUUUAACUCUUUAAAGGGAAGUAUUUUAAUGUGUUUUUCUCUUUCAGGUAAGUAUUUUUAGGUUGUAUUGGUCCUUUAAGGUAAGUAGAAUUUUGUUUGUUGUUUUUAUUGCUCCAAUUGUGUAUGAAUUAACCAGAUUGUCAAGGUAAGUAUUUAAUUAGGUAUCAAUUGUUUGCAGGUGAGUAUUUUAGUGUGUUUUCUUUCAUUUAGGUAAAUAUUUUUCGGUGUAUUGGUCCUUUAAAGUUGAAAGUUAAUUUAUGCGUGAUUUUGAAUAGUCCAAUUGUGUAUGAAUUAAGUCAAUUAACGAGGCUUUUAUCACUCUCCAUGUAUUUAUCUGUUAUUUAUUUAUUUAUUUAUGUGAUCCUAGCAGCCCUACGGCUGUAUGACUUCAUGUAUUUAAUCAAC